GAACGGCGGCGGUAACUAUAACCGUCCUAAGGUGAAAUCGUUGCCUUAGUAAAAUCUGGCCAUAUGCUGGAACAUCUGAGUAUCGAACUGUACUAUGGUAUAAUUAUUCCUUAUAUGGAAGAUUAUAUUUCAAGUGAAAAUCAGUUUCGUGCAGACAAUCAGCAGGAAAGACUCUUGAGCAAUCAAGAGAAUCCUCAGAGACUACACGCCAGACCCCUUAUAAAAAAAAGGGUGAAGAUAUAGUCCGACCUUUAUGGCGACAUAAAG
rnacentral:ncRNA from 1 species